AGGGCUGCGUGACAAACAUUGCUGUGAGCUCUAUGUCUACCAGAGGAUUUUCCGGGUCAUUCUUUCCUUUCUCAGCAGUCCUUUGUGUGACCAGGGCUCCCAGAGUCCUAUUCUGGAGAUACGACAGAGUGCUGCCCGUGUCACCUCUAGAGCUGCCCAUGAGCCGAUAGAGGAUCACAGCCUCCUCUCGUGGGUCCUGCACGGCUUAGAGAAAAGGACCUGCUGCACAGGAAGUGGCACAGUAAUGGAUUUGAGCUGUCUAGAACGUUACUUCUCCUCCCCUUGCCUCUCCCUGACAAAAAAAAUCUCUUCUGCAAGCACAGAGUGCCCUGACAGGUUCAGGCAAGUGCACCAAAAGUGCCCUAGAAUAUGGUCCCCCGUAGGAGAUGGACCAGCUGCUGGUGAGGAUCUGCCUUUCAAAUGUGGUUUUCUUUUCUUUUUUUUCUUUUUGUUCUGUUUCAUUUUGUUUUUCAGGUUUCUGGAGAACCAGGUGAUAAAUAAAAUGAUUUCCUUACUCCAUCCUUUGUGGCUAAUAAAUUUAGGAGACAAGAGAGAAAACAGGAAUCGAUCCCAGAUGCUGCUGUUGAGAUGGGUAUAUGAUCUACCUGUAUAUAGAUAUAUGCGUAUCUCUGUAUAUCUGUGUAGUGAUAAUAAUGGGAGUUUUUAUGAUACGUUGCUUUACUGUCUUCUAUUUUUAAUAAAGUGUGAUUUUAAGUUAUUAGGUAUAACAUUUUAUUCUGCUUAUUGGCUAAAGUAACAUUUUCUUGUAUUUUAUUGGUAUCAAGUCAUGUUAAUCAUUAAUUGGUAAGAGUUUAUAAUGAAUUAUUAAGGUGUGAAUAUUGUUCAUUAAGGUACGUCUUUUUUUACUGUAGGUAUUUUCAUGUGUUCGUAUGGGUUUUUAUGUUAAUGAUUUUGGGUUUUUGUGUUAUGAAUAUAUUAGUAUUUUAUUAGGGUUUUUUUGGUUAGUUUACUUGUUUGGUGUGUAGAUCACUCCUGUUAAGUAUGUUUAUCUAUAUAUGUUUUAAAAUGUAAGUUAUAAAUCUACUUGUUAAGGAUUUUUGUAGAGUUCUAUGUAAAAAUUUAAAUCGGUAGGGGAGAUAAAAAGCAGUAAUUAUUAAUAAGAUGAGUAUUUUAGUUUUUAAUAAUGAUUUAAGUUAUUCAGCGAUGUUUUAAUUUUUGAAAAUAUUAUUUAGUUAUUUUUUAUGUGUGAUUGAUUAAUUUUUAAAAAAAAAUUAGUAAUGUUUUUGUAAAUUGAUUUCUUGUGAUUUCAUCAAUUUAUAUAUUUUUAAAAAUGUUUUCUAUUUAUGAUUGUGUGUGAAUAAUAAAAAAUGAACAGUU